GAUGAACGCUGGCGGCGUGCCUAAUACAUGCAAGUCGAGCGAACAGAUGAGGAGCUUGCUCCUCUGACGUUAGCGGCGGACGGGUGAGUAACACGUGGAUAACCUACCUAUAAGACUGGGAUAACUUCGGGAAACCGGAGCUAAUACCGGAUAAUAUAUUGAACCGCAUGGUUCGAUAGUGAAAGACGGUUUUGCUGUCACUUAUAGAUGGAUCCGCGCCGCAUUAGCUAGUUGGUAAGGUAACGGCUUACCAAGGCAACGAUGCGUAGCCGACCUGAGAGGGUGAUCGGCCACACUGGAACUGAGACACGGUCCAGACUCCUACGGGAGGCAGCAGUAGGGAAUAUUCCGCAAUGGGCGAAAGCCUGACGGAGCAACGCCGCGUGAGUGAUGAAGGUCUUCGGAUCGUAAAACUCUGUUAUUAGGGAAGAACAAAUGUGUAAGUAACUAUGCACGUCUUGACGGUACCUAAUCAGAAAGCCACGGCUAACUACGUG
rnacentral:rRNA from 1 species